rnacentral:rRNA from 1 species
AUUGAACGCUGGCGGCAGGCCUAACACAUGCAAGUCGAACGAGUGGCGGACGGGUGAGUAAUGUCUGGGAAACUGCCCGAUGGCGGGGGAUAACUACUGGAAACGGUAGCUAAUACCGCAUACCAUCGGAUGUGCCCAGAUGUGAUUAGCUUGUAGGUGAGGUAACGGCUCACCUAGGCGACGAUCCAUAGCUGGUCUGAGAGGAUGACCAGCAAAACUGGAACUGAGAAACGGUCCAGACUCCUACGUGAGGAAGCAGUGGGGAAUAUUGCAAAAUGGGCGCAAGCCUGAUGCAGCCAUGCCGCGUGUAUGAAGAAGGCCUUCGGGUUGUAAAGUACUUUCAGCGGGGAGGCGUUACCCGCAGAAGAAGCACCGGCUAACUCCGUGCCAGCAGCCGCGGUAAUAC